rnacentral:sRNA from 1 species
GCCGAUAUGCUAUAAUCGUUGUUAGACAGUAAAGUUUAAUGACGGUGGCUAUCCAUAGAAAGCGGGGUGGUGCUUAUGCACAUAAAUCCAAACUUUUCAGAAAGGAGACGCCUUUUGUCUGUUGAGUCAGCGUUAGGUCUAAUGAUCAGUUUCGGUACAUUUACCGCAGCUUUGAUCUUUGGCAUCCU